AUUGAACGCUGGCGGCAUGCUUUACACAUGCAAGUCGAACGGUAACAGGUUAAGCUGACGAGUGGCGAACGGGUGAGUAAUGCAUCGGAACGUGCCCGGUCGUGGGGGAUAACGCAGCGAAAGCUGCGCUAAUACCGCAUACGAUCCAAGGAUGAAAGCGGGGGACCGUAAGGCCUCGCGCGAUCGGAGCGGGCGAUGUCAGAUUAGGUAGGUGGUGGGGUAAAGGCGCACAAAGCCAACGAUCUGUAGCUGGUCUGAGAGGACGACCAGCCACACGGGGACUGAGACACGGCCCAGACUCCUCCGGGAGGCAGCAGUGGGGAAUUUUGGACAAUGGGCGAAAGCCUGAUCCAGCAAUGCCGCGUGCAGGAAGAAGGCCUUCGGGUUGUAAACUGCUUUUGUACGGAGCGAAAAGGUCUCCUCUAAUACAGGGGGCUCAUGACGGUACCGUAAGAAUAAGCACCGGCUAACUACGUGCCAGCCGCCGCCGUAA
rnacentral:rRNA from 1 species